rnacentral:rRNA from 1 species
GCUAAACGCGAAGAACCUUACCUGGGUUUGACAUAGGAAGUUAACCAUCAGAGAUGGUGGGUCCGUGAGGGUUUCCUACAGGUGGUGCAUGGCUGUCGUCAGCUCGUGUCGUGAGAUGCAUGGUUAAGUCCAUUAACGAGCGCAACCCUUGUCCUUAGUUACCAGCACGUUAUGGUGGGCACUCUAAGGAGACUGCCGGUGACAAACCGGAGGAAGGUGGGGAUGACGUCAAGUCAUCAUGGCCCUUACGGCCUGGGCUACACACGUGCUACAAUGGUCGGUACAGAGGGUUGCCAAGCCGCGAGGUGGAGCUAAUCUCACAAAAACCGAUCGUAGUCCGGAUCGCAGUCUGCAACUCGACUGCGUGAAGUCGGAAUCGCUAGUAAUCGCGAAUCAGAAUGUCGCGGUGAAUACGUUCCCGGGUCU